GAGAAAUGCACGUGUGGGUGUGUGGGAAGGUAUCCAAGGAAACAAAAACUGCCAAGCUAAUUUGUUUUCUAACUGCCAGGGCAUUCUUGGGACAUCCUCCCUAGAUGUUAGAAUUCAAGAGGUGGAAUACCACAGAGGUGAAGUAUCCUCCCGAGAAGUACAUGAUGUUGAUAUAUCCCAUUUCAGUUGCCUCCAACAACUGGCUGGGCUGAUUUGGGAAUUCAUGGCAAGUAAGAAGUAGCUCACUGAGUCUAACACACUUAUAAAGCAUGUAUUAUCUAUCAUUAUACUGUGUCUAAAAUGGAUAAAAUUCAAUAUAUGGGUGUUAAAUGAAAAUAAAUUUGUUACCAGUAGAAAUUAAAAGGCAGAUGA